AACGAACGCUGGCGGCAGGCUUAACACAUGCAAGUCGAACGCAUCCUUCGGGGUGAGUGGCAGACGGGUGAGUAACGCGUGGGAACGUGCCCUUCAGUUCGGGAUAACGCAGGGGGACUUGGGCUAAUACCGGAUACGUUCGAGAGCAGAAAGAUUUAUCGCUGAAGGAUCGGCCCGCGACUGCUUAGCUAGUUGGUGGCGUAAUCGACCACCAAGGCGACGAUCAGUAGCUGGUCUGAGAGGAUGAUCAGCACCAUUGGGACUGGGAGACGUCCCAAACUCCUACGGGAGGAAGCAGUGCGGAAUAUGGGACGAUGGGUGCAAGCCGGAUCCAGUCAUGCCGUGUGAGUGAUUAAGGCCUUAGGGUUGUAAAGCUCUGUCGUCCGGGACGAUAAUGACGGUACCGGAAGAAGAAGCCCCGGCUAACUUCGUGCCAGCAGCCGCAGUAA
rnacentral:rRNA from 1 species